rnacentral:snoRNA from 10 species
AAGAACAAUAGUGUGUAAUGAGCCAAAAAGUAUGAUUAAUCCAAUUCUGGCCGCCUAAGAUCCAUU